ensembl:lncRNA
CGUGAAUGCUACAGGGGAUGGCAGAGGUACGGAAGGGAGCCAGCGGCUUAUGCCUUUUAGGUAUAAAUCAGAUAAGGAGGCUGAUUAGCAAGUGUUGGGGUUUGCUACAAUAUUUGAGGGACUCCGUCAAUAACCUCCUUCCCUUUCUUCCCCAGCUAGGUGCAACGGCCUAAAAUUAGAUAGCUGAUGAAGGGAAGCUGCAGGUCGAUCUCAGCACACGUCUGGCUGGCAGCCUCUGGAAAUGUGAAGUAGCCCAAGAUAUCUUGGCGGGAUAUGGUGCCAAGCAAGUUGAAGAUAUCGAUGGAGGAAAUGAAGUGCAGGAGCACCGAAAACUGCCAGUUAUGUGUUGCAACUGUUACAGUUUGUAUGACAUUCGUGUCACGAGGCCCCAGUCAGGAUCUGAGCCCCAUUGUGCACAUUCCUGUCCAGCCAUUUCUUUUUUCCAUCUUGCUGCACUGUCAGAAUCGGUUGCACUUUUUUGUUUUCAGCUGUCACCCGGUCUCGCUGCCAUUGGAAUUGAAUUUAUCAGCUGUGUCACGGAGAUGUCGCCACAGAAAGAACUGCAAAUAGAAAAGGCUUUGUGCGCCAGGGCGAGCAGCUAAUGACUGGCCUGGGCGGCUAUGAGGAACGGCACUCCGCUGACAACCCGAAGGAAUUAUAAAGCCAUAGAGUGGCAUUGGUUAACCUCCCCGCCCCGUCGGAAAAAUACAGCUUCCCUUUUUUUGGGUCAAGUGAAUACAAUGCUGUGAUAGAAGCCAUCUUGACAACGCUGGGAACGGAAGGCGUGCGGAAUAGCUACAACCCAAGCAGUGACACAACUGGCUUGCCUGACAAUAGCUGCAGCUCCACACAGUGAGUGCCCAGGGGAAUGGUGGGUUUGGGGCUAUAGACACCGUGUCUACCAGGAACUAGACUGACACCACAAACUCAUUUCCCACUGUGGCUUGAACAGCCAUUCCCAUGGUGCCCCUGUGGAGACGUCUGACAGAAUAUAUACACAGGAGUGAACUUCAAUGGCCCAUGUUAUGCAAGAGUUCAGCGUAUAUGAUCAUAAUGGUCCCUGCUGGCCUAUGAAUAUAACUGGGAUGAAACCAAUAGCUUCCCAUAGACAUUGCUCUAAAAACCUAGGGUGAGAUUCUGUGCUCCGGGUCUUGAAUGUGCAGCACAGAAGUCACAGUCCAGGCUAGGGUGGCUUUAUCGCCCCUUCGCACUCUACUGAUACUGGGCGGACACAACUCUGGGUCCUGUCUAUGUUACAGCAGCCUCCUGAGGCCCCAGGAAUCUCUGCAGCCCUGCAUGAUACAGCUCAACUUGCCUCUCCUGCCUCUCCCCCUCCCUUGACACGCCCUCUAUGUGCUGUCUACAAGGGGUUCCUCAGAGCGUCUGCAGUGCCUGCACCAAGAGACUCCUUCCAUGGCUGGAGCUGGGGCUUUUAGGGUCCCUGGAUGCCGUUCCAUCCCUUUUACCUGGCAUCAAGCACCUGGAACCGGGGUGGGGAUCUCAACUUUACAGGGGAUGAGAUGCUUACCACAGAAUUUUUAAAGCAACCUAUUUUAUUUCACUAACAGAGAAUCACUUCCUUGCUGUGGAAUUCUAUAGGUUGGACAAAAAAUCCCAGAGAAAGCGUCUCUUUCUUUACUAAAUUCUACAGGACUUUUCCUUUAGGGAACAACUGAUGGCCGCUAACUCCUCAGAAACUGGCUAUCCCGGGUCUGUGAGCUUUGCAGACCUCUUCAAAAUAAAAUGAAGCAUUACUCUGAUGCA